rnacentral:miRNA from 1 species
UUGAAUUGGUUCAGUACUGGCGG